UACGUAGGUGACAAGCGUUGUCCGGAUUUACUGGGCGUAAAGAGCGCGCAGGCGGUCGAUCAAGUCGAGUGUGAAAGCCCCCGGCUCAACUGGGGAGGGUCAUUCGAUACUGAUCGACUCGAAGGCAGGAGAGGGUAGUGGAAUUCCCGGUGUAGUGGUGAAAUGCGUAGAGAUCCGGAAGAACACCGGUGGCGAAGGCGGUCUGCUGGGGUCGAACUGACGCUGAGGCGCGACAGCGUGGGGAGCAAACAGG
rnacentral:rRNA from 1 species